GCUGUUGGUGCCAAAACCAAGUAGUUUUUUUACUGCAACUUCAAUCCCACUUGGCAUUUUUCCAUGGUAAACAAUCCCAGCUCCUCCUCUCCCAAUUACAUUUCCAUCUUUCACACAUUCCAGGAUGUCUGUGACAGUGAAUUCCAGCUUUUGAAAAGCUGUCAGCUUCCAGGAAUCCGAGCUGUUUUUCUUGAAAGACUUGGCUUUGAUUAUAGCAGCAGUUGCAAAUAUCAGCGAACAUAUCAGCAGGCCUAGAGCAAAGAUGAGCUUGAAGUCACCAGGGGAU
rnacentral:lncRNA from 1 species